AACAAUCUUGACUAUCCGUCAUGUUAUGUCCAACACGCGGUCCGACAAAAACCCGCCCCCCACAACACACAUUUCUCUUUUCUUGCCGGACCCUCCCCUUCCCGCUCGGUUUUCAGCCAUAGCAGGACAUUUCUCGCUAUGCUCUCCUUUCAAACCGUACGACACCCACCUCAUCUUCGCCAUCACGACCCCUUUCUGUCGCACCAAGUUCUAGUGUAGAUUCACUCAUUUUUCUUCAUAUGUAGGCUGUGUUUGGUUGAGCUUUUGGAGCCAACUUCUGGCUUUUGGAAGUUAAAAGCUAACCAAAGGGUGAAAAGAAGAAGCAGAAGUUGCAAAAGUUACAGCUUCUCCGUAGUGUAUUUCUCGCAGCCGGUGCACCCCCAACUUCAGCAUGGCGUUUUUAGCUGUCCCCUCAAAAUUGGAAUGUAUUUACCCACCAUGCCACUCCCAAGUCAUACCCCUUCGUUCUUUUUUUCUCAUUGCAUCAGAGGAAACAGACAGAACAGGCUCGAGUCCCGCUCGACCCGACGACCUGCGCGCAUCGGCAGCCUAGGGUUUGGCCGCCGCCGCCGCCUCCGCUGGCCGCCGGCCGUCGCCGCCGCCGCCCCUGCCUCCGCGGCUCACUACGGCGACACUCCACAUCCGGCAGGUAUAGUUUUCCUUCCUUUCUCCUUCCUCCCUCCACCCUCCUCCCUCUGUCCUCCCUCAUCCCGUGGCGGUGGCCGGCCGGCGGUCCGAUGGCUCCGGCACCGGUGCACCGGCCCUUCUCCUCCUUACUCCUACCUCCCUCCUCGGCUCCUCCCUUCCUUUGCCCCCUAUGGUGGAGGUCAGGCCGUCCCAUGCCUCCUCAAUCUGGUAUCCGUGAGGGACGGGGCAGGUUCGGCCGUCCGGCGGCGCCGAUGCCGGUGAACUGGGACUCCUUCCUCCUCUCUCCUCCCUCCACCCUCCAUCACUCGUCCCCAUCCAUCCUCUUCCAAAAAAAUUUAUCUGUUCAUGCAUAUAUAUUUUUCUGUUUUUUUGUGAUGUGAUGAUUAAUAGCCAUAGAUUGUAAUCUGUUAUUACAGUAUCAUUAGUACUUGCUGCAUAUUGCUACUCUCUAUGCAUUUUCAAGAUUAUGUAUGAAUGGAUUAGCCAGCAAUGGCCCAAUUUUGUCAUGGUUUAUGUCUUGUGCUACAUAAUUGCUUGAUGCACAUAUUGAGCUGUCAUUGGCCAGCAGUGCCACAUUAAAGUUUUUGAUAGAUGUGAUGCCGAUGAUGAGUAUGUACUUCCAGUGCUACGACGGGAGGUGGCAUGAACACAAGCAGAUCCGGUUGAAGAUGAGGAGAACGAAUAUAGCAUGGCAAUAUUCGUAGUAGGACAGCUCAUGCUUGUCUAGCGAUGGCAACAUAAGUUUAGCUAUGUCGAUGGAGGUCAUCAUCAUGUGAACCAUACAUGUCUUGUAUGGUGCAUGUCUUUGUAAUAAUAUUAUGGGAGCAUUAUCUAUAUAAAUGUAUGCAACAUCAAAGUAUAGUUGUUCAAUUGUGUAUGUGUUACUAUAAAUUGCUUACAUUGUCAUAUUUUUUUUCUAUGUCAAAUGAUCGUCCAAUUCCCUACAAAUGUACAUGUCACUACUUUAAGGUCAAUUAGCAUAUAAACAUAUUCACUCAGCUGCCAGGGGCAUUACAGACAAUUUACAACCAAAUCUACAGUUUCACAGUCGUUUUAACCAAACAGCCUCCAGCUUUUCUACAGCAGCAUUUUCACAGCAGCUUUUCCACAGCAGCUUUUCCACAGCUGCUUUUCCAGAAUCUGCAGCUCAACCAAACACAGCCGUAGUCCAUAUUAGAAUUCCUAAAAAGACAUAUAUUUAGAAACGGAGGGAGUAGCAUGCUAGCCAAAAUCUUGUUACAUGAGAAACACUAAUAACUGGGUCACUUUUAUGGGAAAAUGGCUUCAAUAAAUGCUUCUGCAUCAAAAGGUUGGAGAUCUUCCACCCCUUCGCCGACGCCAACAAACUUGGCUAGAACUCCAAGUUCGUCUAUGAACACUCACCUGAGACAGGAUUCAGGUCAGCAAGUUUAGUUGUCGUUUAUUUAAGAUCCAGGACUGGAAUUUGUACUGUUACAAUAAAGCACUGGAAAUCGCCUGUACCACACAACCAACACGAGCAGUCCCGUCU
rnacentral:lncRNA from 1 species